UGAGGAAUAUUGCGCAAUGGGCGAAAGCCUGACGCAGCGACGCCGCGUGGAGGAUGAAGGUUUUCGGAUUGUAAACUCCUGUUAAGUGGGAAGAAAUUCCUGUCUCUAAUACAGACGGGAGAUGACGGUACCAUUAGAGAAAGCACCGGCUAACUUCGUGCCAGCAGCCGCGGUAAUACGAGGGGUGCGAGCGUUAUUCGGAUUUAUUGGGCGUAAAGGGUGCGUAGGCGGCAUAUUAAGUCAGCUGUUAAAUUUCCUGGCCUAACCAGGAGCUUGCGGUUGAUACUGAUGUGCUAGAGGAUGGAAGAGAGAAGUGGAAUUCUCGGAGUAGCGGUAAAAUGCGUAGAUCUCGAGAGGAACACCGAUGGCGAAGGCAGCUUCUUGGUCCAUAUCUGACGCUGAGUGCACGAAAGCGUGGGGAGCAAACAGGAUUAGAUACCCCCGUAGUCC
rnacentral:rRNA from 1 species